rnacentral:rRNA from 1 species
AGAGUUUGAUCAUGGCUCAGGAUGAACGCUAGCUACAGGCUUAACACAUGCAAGUCGAGGGGAAACGACAUCGAAAGCUUGCUUUUGAUGGGCGUCGACCGGCGCACGGGUGAGUAACGCGUAUCCAACCUGCCCAUCACUUGGGGGAUAACCUUGCGAAAGUAAGACUAAUACCCAAUGAUAUCUCUAGAAGACAUCUGAAAGAGAUUAAAGAUUUAUCGGUGAUGGAUGGGGAUGCGUCUGAUUAGCUUGUUGGCGGGGUAACGCCACCAAGGCUACGAUCAGUAGGGGUUCUGAGAGGAAGGUCCCCCCANAUUGGAACUGAGACACGGUCCAAAACUCCUACGGGAGCA